rnacentral:rRNA from 1 species
AGAACGAACGUUAGCGGCGCGCUUAACACAUGCAAGUCGAGCGAGAAAGGGGAAACCCCGGUAAAGCGGCGCACGGGUGAGUAACACGUAGGUAAUCUACCCCCAGGUGGUGGAUAACCUUCCGAAAGGAGGGCUAAUACAGCAUAAGACCACGGUUCCGCAAGGGAUUGAGGUCAAAGCCGGCCACUUCAUGAAAGCUGGCGCCAGGGGAUGAGCCUGCGGCCCAUCACGGUAGUUGGUAGGGUAAUGGCCUACCAAGCCUAAAACGGGUAGCUGGUCUGAGAGGAUGAUCAGCCACACUGGAACUGAGACACGGUCCAGACUCCUACGGGAGGCAGCAGUGGGGAAUCUUGCGCAAUGGGCGAAAGCCUGACGCAGCGACGCCGCGUGAGUGAUGAAGGCCUUCGGGUUGUAAAGCUCUGUGGAGGGGGACGAAUAAGCGUUGGCUAAUAUCCAACGUGAUGACGGUACCUCUUUAGCAAGCACCGGCUAACUCUGUGCCAGCAGCCGCGGUAAGACAGAGGGUGCAAACGUUGUUCGGAAUUACUGGGCGUAAAGCGCGUGUAGGCUGCUCAGAAAGUCGGAUGUGAAAGCCCUGGGCUUAACCUAGGAAGUGCAUUCGAAACUUCUGAGCUGGAGUUCUGGAGAGGAAGGCGGAAUUCUUGGUGUAGAGGUGAAAUUCGUAGAUAUCGAGAGGAACACCGGUGGCGAAGGCGGCCUUCUGGACAGUGACUGACGCUGAGACGCGAAAGCGUGGGGAGCAAACAGGAUUAGAUACCCUGGUAGUCCACGCCGUAAACGAUGGGUGCUAGGUGUCGCGGGCUUUGACCCCUGCGGUGCCGUAGCUAACGCAUUAAGCACCCCGCCUGGG